UACGAAGGGGGCUAGCGUUGCUCGGAAUGACUGGGCGUAAAGGGCGCGUAGGCGGCUCAUAGAGUCGGGCGUGAAAUUCCUGGGCUUAACCUGGGGGCUGCGUUCGAUACCUAUGGGCUGGAGUGAGGAAGAGGGUCGUGGAAUUCCCAGUGUAGGAGGUGAAAUUCGUAGAUAUUGGGAAGAACACCAGUGGCGUAGGCGGCGACCUGGUCCUUUACUGACGCUGAGGCGGCGAAAAGCGUGGGGGAGCAAACAGG
rnacentral:rRNA from 1 species